UGUCUCUUCCGUUCUUUAU
rnacentral:sRNA from 1 species